rnacentral:lncRNA from 1 species
UUGUACCUGGUGCGCUCCAAUUUUCCAUCAAGAAAGCACCAAUAAAGGUAGAAUAUAUGUACCAAAUUAAGAGAUGGAGCCUAAAAAAGGAGAGCUUCCAAAACUCAAAACUCAAAACUCAAAACCCACCAAACACAACCACAUCCUCUCCCCCCACACGCUCAACAAUAAAACAUCACAUCCUUCACAUUUUCUUUUAUGCUCGGCAGCCGUUGAAUAUCUACAUUCCCACCACCUGAACUUGUGGAACCGCUGUCAGAUGAAUCACCCUCUAUGUAAUAACGGGCACGAAAGGCUGCAAGAUGUGCAUAGUAUGCUGGUGGAACUGCAAAACAAACAUAAUUUAUCUGAGCAUUACAUAAAAUAAAACUUGACAACUGGGGAAUUGUUAUUAUUGUCAUUAAUAGAUCGUAC